CCUACAUGAUAUAGAUACUUUGUACAUAUAUGUAUGAUAUGCUAAUGAUCAAAAUAAGUAAGAAGCAUAAAUAGUUUUAUGAUGGUUUCUAUAUUAAAUCAUAUUUUGAUUGUGUAUGUUUGUUAUUGAUAGUAUGAUGGUUGUAUAUAUGAGCAUGACUUAUACUUGUAUAAUCAGAUUAAUGGAUGUGGUUCUCUGGACUAACCAUGUUAUAUUAAUUACCCCGUCACGGACGAAAAACAUGAUUGUUGUUAUUUUAAAGCCGAAAAUAAAAAGAAAUUAAUGUGUAGAUGUGAACUUGAUUGAAUAAAUAAGGACUUUGGGCUAAUCUUGUU
rnacentral:lncRNA from 1 species